GCGCCCGUAGCUCAGCGGACUAGAGCAUUGGUCUUCGGAACCAAGGGUCAGAGGUUCGAAUCCUCUCGGGCGUACCA
rnacentral:tRNA from 1 species